ACUCCUACGGGAGGCAGCAGUCGGGAAUUUUGGGCAAUGGGCGAAAGCCUGACCCAGCAACGCCGCGUGAAGGAUGAAAUCCCUCGGGAUGUAAACUUCGCAAGAACAGGAAGAAUAAGUAGGGGACAAUACCCCCUAUGAUGACGGUACUGUUUGUAAGCUCCGGCUAACUCCGUGCCAGCAGCCGCGGUAAUACGGGGGGAGCAAGCGUUGUUCGGAUUUACUGGGCGUAAAGGGCGCGUAGGCGGCCUGUGCAAGUCAGUUGUGAAAUCUCCGGGCUUAACUCGGAACGGUCAACUGAUACUGCUCGGCUAGAGUGCGGAAGGGGCAACUGGAAUUCUUGGUGUAGCGGUGAAAUGCGUAGAGAUC
rnacentral:rRNA from 1 species